UACGUAGGGACCGAGCGUUGUCCGGAUUCAUUGGGCGUAAAGAGCUCGUAGGCGGCCACUCAAGUCGAAUGUGAAAACUCGAGGCUUAACCUCGAGAUGUCAUCGGAAACCAUUUGGCUAGAGUCCGGAAGAGGAAAGUGGAAUUCCUGGUGUAGCGGUGAAAUGCGCAGAUAUCAGGAGGAACACCGGUGGCGAAGGCGGUUCUCUGGGCAUUACCUGACGCUGAGGAGCGAAAGUGUGGGGAGCGAACAGG
rnacentral:rRNA from 1 species